rnacentral:rRNA from 1 species
GAUGAACGCUGGCGGCGUGCCUAAUACAUGCAAGUCGAGCGAACAGACGAGGAGCUUGCUCCUCUGACGUUAGCGGCGGACGGGUGAGUAACACGUGGAUAACCUACCUAUAAGACUGGGAUAACUUCGGGAAACCGGAGCUAAUACCGGAUAACAUGUUGAACCGCAUGGUUCAACAGUGAAAGACGGUCUUGCUGUCACUUAUAGAUGGAUCCGCGCCGCAUUAGCUAGUUGGUAAGGUAACGGCUUACCAAGGCAACGAUGCGUAGCCGACCUGAGAGGGUGAUCGGCCACACUGGAACUGAGACACGGUCCAGACUCCUACGGGAGGCAGCAGUAGGGAAUCUUCCGCAAUGGGCGAAAGCCUGACGGAGCAACGCCGCGUGAGUGAAGAAGGUCUUCGGAUCGUAAAACUCUGUUAUUAGGGAAGAAUAAAUGUGUAAGUAACUAUGCACGUCCUGACGGUACCUAAUCAGAAAGCCACGGCUAACUACGUG